rnacentral:rRNA from 1 species
AGUGAACGCUGGCGGCAGGCCUAACACAUGCAAGUCGAACGAGUGGCGGACGGGUGAGAAAUACAUCGGAAUCUACUCUGUCGUGGGGGAUAACCUUGGGAAACGGACGCUAAUACCGCAAACGAUGGAAUGAGCCGAUGUGGGAUUAGCUAGUUGGCGGGGUAAAGGCCCACCAAGGCGGCGAUCCGUAGCUGGUCUGAGAGGAUGAUCAGCCACACUGGAACUGAGACACGGUCCAGACUCCUACGGGAGGCAGCAGUGGGGAAUAUUGGACAAUGGGCGCAAGCCUGAUGCAGCCAUACCGCGUGGGUGAAGAAGGCCUUCGGGUUGUAAAGCCCUUUUGUUGGGCAAGCGGUACCCAAAGAAGAAGCACCGGCUAACUUCGUGCCAGCAGCCGCGGUAAUUC